rnacentral:rRNA from 1 species
AUGCAGAAUCGUUUCGGUCUACUUGUCGCGGACGUGAUGCCUAUAUACAUGAUCAUGCCUAGAUAUUCUCAUAUUUAUUCGCUUUUCUAUCAAUUGCUCGAUAGUAAUUAUUCGCUUUUCUAUCUUGCGUGUGGGUAUGAGAGUAAGAAAUUACCAGAUUAUGUUUGCAAGCUUGAUAAAGCACUCUAUGGUUUAAAGCAAGCACCCAGAGCAUGGUAUUCCAGACCGGGCUUACAGUUGAAAUAUCUUGGCUUUAUUGCUUACAAGGCUGACAUGUCCUUGUUUAUUUAUAACAAGGCAGGGGUGGUCAUUUUUGUACUCAUAUAUGUGGAUGAUAUCAUGGUUUCAAGUUCUUCACAAAAUGCUACUCAUCCUCUUUUACAUGAUUUGAGCUCAGAGUUUGCCUUGAAGGAUUUAGGUGAUUUGCAUUUCUUCCUAGUCAUUGAAGUCAAGAAAACUCAAGAUGGCAUUAUGUUAAAUCAGGAAAAAUAUGUCAAUAAGCUUCUGUCUCGCAUGGGAAUGAAGAAUUGUAAGCCAGUGCCUACACCUUUAUCUUCCUCAAAAAAACUCUGCAUAUGA